rnacentral:rRNA from 1 species
AGUGAACGCUGGCGGUAGGCCUAACACAUGCAAGUCGAACGGCAGCACAGUAAGAGCUUGCUCUUACGGGUGGCGAGUGGCGGACGGGUGAGGAAUACAUCGGAAUCUACUUUUUCGUGGGGGAUAACGUAGGGAAACUUACGCUAAUACCGCAUACGACCUACGGGUGAAAGCAGGGGACCUUCGGGCCUUGCGCGAUUGAAUGAGCCGAUGUCGGAUUAGCUAGUUGGCGGGGUAAAGGCCCACCAAGGCGACGAUCCGUAGCUGGUCUGAGAGGAUGAUCAGCCACACUGGAACUGAGACACGGUCCUGACUCCUACGGGAGGCAGCAGUGGGGAAUAUUGGACAAUGGGCGCAAGCCUGAUCCAGCCAUACCGCGUGGGUGAAGAAGGCCUUCGGGUUGUAAAGCCCUUUUGUUGGGAAAGAAAUCCAGCCGGCUAAUACCUGGCUGGGAUGACGGUACCCAAAGAAUAAGCACCGGCUAACUUCGUGCCAGCCGCCGCGGUAAGAC